rnacentral:rRNA from 1 species
GACGAACGCUGGCGGCAUGCCUAAUACAUGCAAGUAGAACGCGCAGUUUAUACCGUAGCUUGCUACACCAUAUACUGUGAGUUGCGCUCGGGUGAGUAACGCGUAGGUAACCUGCCUGGUAUCGGGGGAUCACUAUUGGAAACGAUAGCUAAUACCGCAUAAUAUUAAUUAUUGCCUGAUAAUUAUUUGAAAGUUGCAAUUUCACAACUACCAAAUGGACCUACGUUGUAUUAGCUAGUAGGGGAGGUAACGGCUCACCGAGGCGACGAUACAUAGCCGACCUCAGAGGGUGAGAGGCCACACUGGGACUGGGACACGGCCCAGACCACUACGGGAGGGAGCAGGAGGGGACUCUCGGGGAAGGAAGAAAGUCGGACCGAGCAACGACGGGUGAGUGAAUAAGGUUUUCGGAUCGUAAAGCUCUGGUAUGAGAGAAGAACGGGUAUGAGUGUUGAAAGUGCAGACUGUGACGGUACCGUAACAGAAAGGGACGGCUAACUACGUG